UGCUAAAGUGAUGACAAAUGGAUG
rnacentral:siRNA from 1 species